AGUGAACGCUGGCGGUAGGCCUAACACAUGCAAGUCGAACGGCAGCACAGUAAGAGCUUGCUCUUACGGGUGGCGAGUGGCGGACGGGUGAGGAAUACAUCGGAAUCUACUUUUUCGUGGGGGAUAACGUAGGGAAACUUACGCUAAUACCGCAUACGACCUAUGGGUGAAAGCAGGGGAUCUUCGGACCUUGCGCGAUUGAAUGAGCCGAUGUCGGAUUAGCUGGUUGGCGGGGUAAAGGCCCACCAAGGCGACGAUCCGUAGCUGGUCUGAGAGGAUGAUCAGCCACACUGGAACUGAGACACGGUCCAGACUCCUACGGGAGGCAGCAGUGGGGAAUAUUGGACAAUGGGCGCAAGCCUGAUCCAGCCAUACCGCGUGGGUGAAGAAGGCCUUCGGGUUGUAAAGCCCUUUUGUUGGGAAAGAAAAGCAGCAGGUUAAUACCCCGCUGUUCUGACGGUACCCAAAGAAUAAGCACCGGCUAACUUCGUG
rnacentral:rRNA from 1 species